rnacentral:misc_RNA from 1 species
UAAUAAGUGUUCUACUGCACUUUUUAAACAAGUACUCACCUUGUGUGCAAUGUUUGCUGUCGAGACGAAUAAACGACUCGACAGCACAAUACCAACCUUUUAUUGUAAAUUUUUUGUCUGAAGCUAUUUCGAAUAUAUAAUUCUAAAUA